UGAUCUUCUGCCUUCCACCUGGCCCUGGA
rnacentral:sRNA from 1 species